GCGCCCGUAGCUCAGUCGGAUAGAGCACCAGAUUCCUAAUCUGGGGGUCGCAGGUUCGAAUCCUGCCGGGCGCGCCA
rnacentral:tRNA from 2 species